rnacentral:misc_RNA from 2 species
AACGCACCUUGCGCUCCUUGGUAUUCCGAGGAGCAUGCCUGUUUGAGUGUCAUUAAAUUCUCAACUUCAUCAGCUUUGUUAUGAAACUGUGUGGAGCUUGGAUGUGGGGGUUUGUGCAGAGCGCGUAAAAGCAACCUGCUCCCCUUAAAUAAAUUAGCGAGUUCAAACUGGGCUCCGUCUAUUGGUGUGAUAAUUAUCUACGCCGUGGAUUGGGUUUAGACUUGCUUCUAAUCGUCCGCAAGGACAAUCUUUUGACAAUUUGACCUCAAAUCAGGUAGGACUACCCGCUGAACUUAA